rnacentral:lncRNA from 1 species
CUCUGCUGUGUCUCUGCUGAGGAGGACAUGUUAGCCCCUGCCACCUUUGCAUGGUGCUUUUGAUUUUUCUGCUUUCAAGUUCACCAUGAUCCAGUUUGGCCUCAGAUAGUCUGAAAAACACCAUUUCUCAAAAAGCACUUGAACUGCUCCAGGGCAGCUGCAUUGCUGUAUCACACUGGAGGUCUCUCUAUGGCUAUCCAGAGCUUCUGCCCUCAGAGGAG